GAUGAACGCUGGCGGCGUGCCUAAUACAUGCAAGUCGAGCGAACAGACGAGGAGCUUGCUCCUCUGACGUUAGCGGCGGACGGGUGAGUAACACGUGGAUAACCUACCUAUAAGACUGGGAUAACUUCGGGAAACCGGAGCUAAUACCGGAUAAUAUUUUGAACCGCAUGGUUCAAUAGUGAAAGACGGUUUUGCUGUCACUUAUAGAUGGAUCCGCGCCGCAUUAGCUAGUUGGUAAGGUAACGGCUUACCAAGGCAACGAUGCGUAGCCGACCUGAGAGGGUGAUCGGCCACACUGGAACUGAGACACGGUCCAGACUCCUACGGGAGGCAGCAGUAGGGAAUCUUCCGCAAUGGGCGAAAGCCUGACGGAGCAACGCCGCGUGAGUGAUGAAGGUCUUCGGAUCGUAAAACUCUGUUAUUAGGGAAGAACAUAUGUGUAAGUAACUGUGCACGUCUUGACGGUACCUAAUCAGAAAGCCACGGCUAACUACGUG
rnacentral:rRNA from 1 species